rnacentral:rRNA from 1 species
UAUUGAUGUCAGCACGCAUGUGCGAGCCUGACGCGAGCAUGCCGCGUGAGUGAUGAAGGUUUUCGGAUCGUAAAGCUCUGUUGCCAGGGAAGAACGCUUGGGAGAGUAACUGCUCUCAAGGUGACGGUACCUGAGAAGAAAGCCCCGGCUAACUACGUGCCAGCAGCCGCGGUAAUACGUAGGGGGCAAGCGUUGUCCGGAAUUAUUGGGCGUAAAGCGCGCGCAGGCGGUCAUUUAAGUCUGGUGUUUAAUCCCGGGGCUCAACCCCGGAUCGCACUGGAAACUGGGUGACUUGAGUGCAGAAGAGGAGAGUGGAAUUCCACGUGUAGCGGUGAAAUGCGUAGAUAUGUGGAGGAACACCAGUGGCGAAGGCGACUCUCUGGGCUGUAACUGACGCUGAGGCGCGAAAGCGUGGGGAGCAAACAGGAUUAGAUACCCCUUGUAGUCCA